UACGAAGGGGGGCUAGCGUUGCUCGGAAUCACUGGGCGUAAAGCGCACGUAGGCGGAUUGUUAAGUCAGAGGUGAAAUCCCGGAGCUCAACUUCGGAACUGCCUUUGAUACUGGCAAUCUAGAGUCCGGAAGAGGUUAGUGGAAUUCCCAGUGUAGAGGUGAAAUUCGUAGAUAUUGGGAAGAACACCAGUGGCGAAGGCGGCUAACUGGUCCGGUACUGACGCUGAGGUGCGAAAGCGUGGGGAGCAAACAGG
rnacentral:rRNA from 1 species